NNNNNACGGGUAGCCGGCCUGAUGAGGGUGACCGGCCACACUGGGACUGAACACGGCCCAGACUCCUACGGGAGGCAGCAGUGGGGAAUAUUGCACAAUGGGCGNAAGCCUGAUGCAGCAACGCCGNGUGGGGGACGAAGGCCUUCGGGUUGUAAACCUCUUUUGGCAGGGAAGAAGNGAAAGUGACGGUACCUGCAGAAAAAGC
rnacentral:rRNA from 1 species